UUCACUCUACCCCGAAAGAGAAGGAUCGC
rnacentral:piRNA from 1 species